AGAAGGAGCUGAUCCAAGUUGAAGCCCUCAUUUCUCCCGGCUGACACAAAACUGGGCAGAGUGGCUGACACAGCAAAAGGCUGUGCUGCCUUCCAGCGAGACCUGGAGAGUUGGGUGGGGAGAAACGGAAUGAGAAAGAACAAGGGCAGGUGAUCCUGCCCCAGCAGGGGGAUUGGACGAGGUGAUCUUUGGAGGUCCCUUCCAAUUCCUGACAUUCUGUGAUUCUGUGCAAAGUUGGUUCACGGUAGUACUUUUGCUGCUGGGAAAUAGGAGCGCUGAUCUUUGGGAAGUUCCGGAUGCUGUCAGGAGUUAUUCAAGCCCAUUGGUGUUAAUUUGACCCUGGACUGGCUGCUGCUUGACAUGCUGUCUGCACAGAGGUAACACAUGCAUUAAUUUGUUUCCUGUCCUCUGCUGUUUUGUCUCUUGUUUUUAGUUAAUGCUGAAAACCCACCUACGGCUGUGGUUGGGAAAUUGGUUCACUUGCUCGAUCGGACCCAGAUUUUCAGGAGGAGCUGGAGCUAGUGAAACUGUGUGAGGAAGCUGUGACCUUGAUCCGAUCUAAUCAACAGCUUGAAAAUGACCUCAAUCUCAUGGACCUCAAGAUUGGACUGCUAGUGAAGAACAGAAUGACACUGCAGGAUGUUGUUUCUCAUAGCAAAAAUCUUAGCAAGGAGAACAAGGAACAGCUCUGUGACGUGGUGACGCUGAACGAGCAAAAGGGAGGUUUGCAAGCUUGGAGCAAAGAGGAGAGGGAAAAGCUGGAAGCCUAUCAGCAUCUUUUCUACUUGAGGUAUGCAGCUUUUCAUUCACUGCUCUUGUCAUAGAUGCUUACGUGUAUUGGAACAGUCUGUACUUCU